UACGGAGGGUGCAAGCGUUAUCCGGAAUCACUGGGUUUAAAGGGUGCGUAGGCGGUCUUAUAAGUCAGUCGUGAAAUCGCUGGGCUCAACCCAUGCAAUUGCGAUUGAUACUGUUUGACUUGAAUCAGGAUGAGGUAGGCGGAAUGUGGCAUGUAGCGGUGAAAUGCAUAGAUAUGCCAUAGAACACCGAUUGCGAAGGCAGCUUGCUGGACCUGAAUUGACGCUGAGGCACGAAAGCGUGGGGAGCAAACAGG
rnacentral:rRNA from 1 species